rnacentral:rRNA from 1 species
GGAUUAGAUACCCUGGUAGUCCACACUGUAAACGAUGAUCACUAGAUGUUCGAUGGAAUUAACUGUUGAGUGUCCAAGCGAAAGCGAUAAGUGAUCCACCUGGGGAGUACGUUCGCAAGAAUGAAACUCAAAGGAAUUGACGGGGGCCCGCACAAGCGGUGGAGCAUGUGGUUUAAUUCGAUGAUACGCGAGGAACCUUACCUGGGCUACAAUGCCUUGGCCAGUCUGGGAAACCAGAUUUUCCUUCGGGACCAAGUGCAAGGUGCUGCAUGGUUGUCGUCAGCUCGUGCCG